GAACAUUUUACCCAGAGCUGAUCUGGGCCAUUCUAUACCGUCAUGCCCUGUUCCUCCCCCUGCCCAUGCCUCCGGAACCUGAGCUGGACCAGGCACUGAUCUCGCUCUAUGGUUUAAAUAGGAGAGAAGCAGUGAGGUAAAGCGAAUGGGGAGUGGAUGUCUGGAAUGAUCCACGGCCAUCUGGGAGCCCUGCUGUGGGUGGCCUCCUGAUUAGUGAAUGAGAUGCUGCCCUCAGGAAGCUUGGGUUCUAGAAAGGAGGGCUGACAGGAGUACAUAACUGCCAGCCUGCCCUGUGGCACGCCAGGCACUACAGAGAGGAGAGCGUGGCACAUGGUGGAGGCACAGUGGAGGGUGACUCAUUAAUUAACUCGGUCUUGGGGGCAAGCGGGGAACAAAGAAUGCUCACAGAAUCGGGAACCUUAAAGAGAAGCUUCUAGAGUGAACAGAUGCCGCUAACUUAUAUGGUGCCGUGGUGUGCAUUAGACAAAGGGCACACAGCUGGGCUGGCAGAUCACUGGGAGACAGGUCCCCUUGUGCAGUGAACAACAAAUACCACAUUCAGGGCAAUUGCAUUUGCUAGAUGGACAGAGGGAGACUGGAAAGAACAUUCCGGACAGAGAAGACAGCAUAAGCAAGGACAUAAAAAUGGUAAAUUCAUUCUAGAGCAGAGAUAGUAGAACUGGGGUGGGGAGCCCUGAUUGAAUGGUAUUGGGGAACAGUGGGGUCGACUUGGCAACUGAGGAGUGUGGGGGAAGGGGGCGACAGAGGAGAGCAUCCAGAAAGACUCCCGUAUUUUAGCCUUGGGUACCUGAAUGGUGCCGCACUAAUGAGACCCAAGGAGAUGCAGACAGAGCAGCCCCUGCUCUCAUUCCCCAAUGCCUGGCUGAAAGUGCCGGUGGUUCCUUUCCAGUUUCCUGAGGUUGUCCCACUUAACAUUGGAGGGGCUCACUUCACCACACGCCUGUCUACACUGCGGCGCUAUGAGGACACCAUGCUGGCGGCCAUGUUCAGCGGGCGGCAUUACAUCCCCACCGACGCCGAGGGCCGGUACUUCAUUGACCGGGAUGGCACGCACUUUGGAGAUGUGCUGAAUUUUCUGCGCUCAGGCGACCUGCCACCCCGGGAGCGUGUACGGGCUGUGUACAAAGAGGCCCAGUACUAUGCCAUCGGUCCCCUCCUGGAGCAGCUAGAGAACAUGCAGCCUCUGAAGGGGGAGAAAGUGCGCCAGGCAUUUCUGGGACUCAUGCCCUAUUACAAAGACCAUUUGGAGCGGAUUGUGGAGAUUGCCCGGCUGCGUGCGGUACAGCGGAAGGCCCGCUUUGCCAAGCUCAAGGUCUGUGUCUUCAAGGAGGAGAUGCCCAUCACCCCCUACGAGUGUCCGCUUCUCAACUCCCUGCGCUUCGAGCGGAGCGAGAGCGAUGGGCAGCUCUUUGAGCACCAUUGCGAGGUGGAUGUGUCUUUUGGGCCCUGGGAGGCUGUGGCUGAUGUUUAUGACCUACUGCACUGCCUGGUCACGGACCUCUCAGCCCAGGGCCUCGUCGUGGACCACCAGUGCAUCGGGGUGUGUGACAAGCACCUCAUCAACCACUACUACUGCAAGCGUCCCAUCUAUGAGUUCAAGAUCACGUGGUGGUAGGAGUGUGCCCACCCAGUCUAGGCACAGAGCUCUCCCCUCUCGUGUUGAGAGGUCUCCAGGGGAAGAAGAUACCACAGGUGAACAGUCACUGUGUAGCUCCCAACCACGUCAGGUGGUUCCGAAAGGAAUCCCUUCUGUCAUUCACCACUUCUUUCAAGGGAGAGAGAAAUGGCUCUAAGCUUAUGUGGGCCUCAGUGGUUAAGACCGGUCCUUGAGGAAAAUGGACUUGAGUUGUUCUUCCUCUGGAAGCAGAGUUUGACACCUUCCUGGCUAAUGAGUGUCCUCAUCAAGAUAUCCCUUGGAGUCACUCCAUGGAUUAACCCAGAAAGUGACAUGAUCUAAAUAUCCUGGGAUUCCACCACCUCCAACCACCUGGAACUCAAUGGAAACAGGACUGUCGUGCACCAGGAAGAAGUCCGACUCAACUGCAGGGAAGACUUUGAAUAGUCUUGAACCAUCCAGAAGUACUUCAUAGAAGGGACCCGUAAUCAGAUUGUGAUGUACCUUUUCUGCCCUUCUGUGAUCUCAAUGACAACCUGAAUCACCCUUCCACAAACCAUGACUUUUAGAAGAUUCUCCUAAUGUAUUACAGACCCUGGGUUUUUUCCUGUGUCAUGUGAUCGUGGCAGGUGGCCUAGCUCCAGUAGAUCUUUUGAAUAGAUGGAUACAUACUUCUCCUUUAUGAUGGAAAAAUUAAGAAAUAGAAACCCAAAACACCACAAAACUUAGAGCUUGAUCUCCAUUAAAAGAAAUUAAUCAGUUAAGAGUUGGAAUUGAAAUCCUUAUACCUCUAUUAUGUUUGUAAGUGGGUUGGAUGGUAUAAUCAGGUUUAAGUCCAGAGAACAUGUAGCACCUUCUGUAAGUGCCGUUAUUAGUGUGUUUAUUAGUGUGAGUUCCAGCAUUACAUCCUUGCCUUCAGCUCUGCCUCAGCUUACACUGCCCUGAGGACCCAUCUGUCUAUGCACCCAUCUGUUGUGGGUGCCUACUGUCCCCACUCUCCCUGUGUCAUCACCACCCCCCACCCCCACCACUCAUGACAGCCCUGUCUUUGGCAUUUUAAAGCUGGUUUGCCACUUCUGGCCGUACCUCAUCCAGCAUUUGGUAGCCAGCCCUGGCGGCGGUGCUCCAUCCAGCAGUGUCCCCCGCUGCUUCUUAGGCAGGUAGGUGCUCUUUGCACCAAGGUCCCAGAUUUUCCGAUUCAGCUUUCUCACCUGGCCUGCUAGGAUUUGAAGAGCAUUUUCAGCCCUUCUCUCUAAGCUCCGUGUCUACCGUGACCGCUUCCGCAAUGGCAGCAGAGGAUUCUUGCAAGGCCCCACCAAACAGAUAAGUUAGCCUCACCCUCCUCUACCCUUGGAAGGGAUAAUCAACAUACUUUUCCCAGAAACUGCAUUCACCAAGAGCUUCCUAACAAAAAUAGGGACUUCCCUGGUCAGCUGACCACAUCACUAUUGGCCGAAAUGAGGAUGACCUUAUUCACUUGGCACUCCCAGAAAGUCAAGGCAGCAUGUAUCUGCCUCCAGACAUAUUCAGGAAAUGUUCUACCCAACUGCCUGAUUGUAUACUUCCAAAUACAGCUCUGUCUGGAAAUUCCCGCUGGUUCAAAGAGGUAGGAUGUUGAGGAAUACCAUCUAUAGUCACCUGCCAGAAUGUUCCACCACUUACACUGGCUGGGCCUUUAGCCCGGAGGAUUCCACAGACAUGGGAUUUACUGUCUGGUUUUGAACCCUGUCGGAGCUGUUCUGCUGGGAUGGCAAUCCUGACUCCUUGACGGCAGCAGCAGCCCUGGGAUAACCUGCAAUUGUGGACUGAGAUCCAGAUGUAGGAUUUCCAGAAGGUUCAACCAAGGUAUCCUCAUGAUAAUGUAUGAGAAAGUGAUGUUUCUUAGGUGGAAGGUUCUCCAGAUGCUCAACUACCCCACAGUUUGGGGGUUUAUAGGCAGUAGCCAUUCGGUCAUGCUCCUCCACUUCCUCACAUGACCAUCCUGCCUUUUUAGGAUGGGGUUUGAGCUGACCCCUUGCUCAGGGCCCAGAAUUCCACAGUAGCUGAAAACCCUGUACAUCUUUUCUCCUAUCACGGUCUUACGCAACCCAGAAGCAUUUCAGUGCCCUGGCAGGGAUCACAAGGAGGCACGAGCACGGGCAGCCUCUGUCCCUUGUUUCCGCAUGUCCACGAUACUGGCAUUGGCAGGCCGACAACCCUUGUAGGUGUGAGUUGCAAUAAAACCAACAGAUUCAAGGUCUAGAGGCGGCACUGAAGAAGCCCUUCAGGGAUGUCUGUCUGCAGGAGCCUGGAGUACUCAAGGUGAAACUGGGAGCUUGUUCCACAUAGUGGAGGCAGGAUGUGUUUUUCAAACAUUUUGGCUUCAGAAGAUACUGCAAACAUGCACAAGAGCCUGAGAAGGAGGCCAGCUAUCCCACGUGCCUUUAUAUCUCACGCAUUCAAAAUGGAAAAGAACAGACUUCUUGGGACCUUCUGACGCAGCAGUAUGUGCUGCUUCCUUCUUCGGUGAGUGUUCCUGAAUUGCACUGAGUCAUUUGUAUUAGUCAAGACAAAACAAAAAAGUAGUAAUUGAACAAUUUCUAUCUUUAAUAUGUUAACUUAAUCGUAGUUGCAUUGUAAUAAUAAGGGACUGGCUCACAAACAGUAGUGAUAACUAGAGAGAAUGUGGGAAGACCACAUAGAGGAAGCGCCACCCAGGACUGAGAUAGAGGAUCCAAGGAAGAACAGCCCCUUCCCCAGAGCUGAUAUCAGACCUUUUUGGAGAGGGCAGAGCCAUGGUUUACUGAAUGGCAGGGAAGUCAUCGGGUGCUAUACUUGGUGGAACUUGCUAGAAAUCCUUCCUCUAGCAUGCUGGGAAAAUCUCUUUAGGGAGGUGUUUUAUCAGAGGCACUCCACUACAAAGCUACCCAAGGUGAGUGCUGGGGAAAGCUGCUGGCCUCUUUGUGCUGCUGGCGAACAUGCACUGCAGGAGCUGCGUGCUGGAGAAGCUGUGCUGGGGCAAUCACACCAGAACCAGAAAGGGAAGUACCUUUCUUCUUGGCAGGGUGUCCCCGAUAUCCUCUGCUAACGAAGUUUAAUAUCCUGUUAAUUGGCAAAGGAAAAAAUAUUCAAAGGUCCCAACCCAAUUCUGCAGAGCCAAUGAAGGAUGAAUAUGGAGCUAAGAGGCAAUCAAUAACUGGCAUAUCUUUUUUUAAAA